rnacentral:rRNA from 1 species
ACUCCUACGGGAGGCAGCAGUGGGGAAUAUUGCACAAUGGGGGAAACCCUGAUGCAGCCAUGCCGCGUGUGUGAAGAAGGCCUUCGGGUUGUAAAGCAUCUUUGCAGUAGGGAGGAAGGUAGUGUAGUUAACCACCUGCAUUAUUUGACGUUACCUACAGAAGAAGCACCGGCUAACUCCGUGCCAGCAGCCGCGGUAAUACGGAGGGUGCGAGCGUUAAUCGGAAUUACUGGGCGUAAAGCGCAUGCAGGCGGCCUGUUAAGUCAGAUGUGAAAGCCCGGGGCUUAACCUCGGAAUUGCAUUUGAAACUGGCAGGCUAGAGUCUUGUAGAGGGGGGUAGAAUUCAGGUGUAGCGGUGAAAUGCGUAGAGAUCUGAAGGAAUACCAGUGGCGAAGGCGGCCCCCCUGGAGCAAAGACUGACGCUCAGAUGCGAAAGCGUGGGGAGCAAACAGGAUUAGAUGACCCUGGUAGACUGU